rnacentral:rRNA from 1 species
CGCCAGACUCCUACGGGAGGCAGCAGUGGGGAAUAUUGCAUAAUGGGGGAAACCCUGAUGCAGCGACGCCGCGUGAGCGAUGAAGUAUUUCGGUAUGUAAAGCUCUCUCAGCAGGGAAGAAGAUGACGGUACCUGACUAAGAAGCCCCGGCUAACUACGUGCCAGCAGCCGCGGUAAUACGUAGGGGGCAAGCGUUAUCCGGAUUUACUGGGUGUAAAGGGAGCGUAGACGGCGAUGCAAGCCAGAUGUGAAAGCCCGGGGCUCAACCCCGGGACUGCAUUUGGAACUGUGUGGCUGGAGUGUCGGAGAGGCAGGCGGAAUUCCUAGUGUAGCGGUGAAAUGCGUAGAUAUUAGGAGGAACACCAGUGGCGAAGGCGGCUUACUGGACUGUAACUGACGUUGAGGCUCGAAAGCGUGGGGAGCAAACAGGAUUAGAUACCCUCGUAGUU